UACGAAGGGGGCUAGCGUUGCUCGGAAUCACUGGGCGUAAAGGGUGCGUAGGCGGGUUUCUAAGUCAGGGGUGAAAUCCUGGAGCUCAACUCCAGAACUGCCCUUGAUACUGGAAGUCUUGAGUAUGGGAGAGGUGAGUGGAACUGCGAGUGUAGAGGUGAAAUUCGUAGAUAUUCGCAAGAACACCAGUGGCGAAGGCGGCUCACUGGCCCAUAACUGACGCUGAGGUGCGAAAGCGUGGGGAGCAAACAGG
rnacentral:rRNA from 1 species